GAAAGACGUGUCUAGGGUACCACAGAUAUCAGUGUGUUGUGUUUACUACUGUGCCCAUGCUUCCAUCUUGAUGACAAGGAGGACGACUCCUUCAUCAUUCCCACUACAGAAUACACAAUGGUUCACAUCUUGAAACUGUUUCAGUGUUAUUAACCUGGAUUCCAUUUGGAUGAAAUGAAGCCAGAAGGGCAUGAUUGCAAAUGUUCACUUUGGUUCCAGAAGCAGCUCAAUAAAAGAAAGAAAAGUUUUAGAAUUUCUUCCAGAAGAUGUCAAUGAGAAAAAAAGAACCUAAAAGAAACCUACUUAAUGUUUUAUGACAGAAAUCUAGAAUCAAAUUGAAUUAAGGACAGCAUAGAUGCUGAAACUACUGAAGAAUGCUGCAGUUAUCUCAUCGAGUGAUGUUCAUCAUUGGAGCCUGUUGAAAUACUUCUGCAUGAGGAAGGAAUGAUGCAUAUAAGCAAAUCUUGAAGAGAAGACUUCACAUAUUUCCCGACUAAUCUCUGAUGAGACAGCUUUCUUCCAUUCUUAAAGGAGGAAGAAAGGGAGAAUCAGCAAGUAAAACAAAACAAGAAAAUGAUGUUCAUUCCACAUAACAUAUUUAAUUUGAUCGACAAUCUUUAGCCUGUCAUUGACCAAGAACACCCAAG
ensembl:lncRNA